rnacentral:piRNA from 1 species
UAGAAGCUGUAUACAGCUCUCGCUCU